rnacentral:rRNA from 1 species
UACGGGAGGCAGCAGUGGGGAACAUUGCACAAUGGGCGAAAGCCUGACCGAGCAAUGCCGCGUGAGUGAAGAAGGCCCUAUGGGUUGUAAAGCUCUGUCAGAUUGGGAAGAAAACUCGGCGGUUAAUACCCGUCGAGCUUGACGGUACCAUCAGAGGAAGCACCGGCUAACUCCGUGCCAGCGACCGCGGUAAU